AUUGAACGCUGGCGGCAGGCUUAACACAUGCAAGUCGAGCGGUAACAGAGAGAAGCUUGCUUCUCUGCUGACGAGCGGCGGACGGGUGAGUAAUGCCUAGGAAUCUGCCUAGUAGUGGGGGAUAACUUGCCGAAAGGUAAGCUAAUACCGCAUACGUCCUACGGGAGAAAGGAGGGGACCUUCGGGGCUUUCGCUAUUAGAUGAGCCUAGGUCGGAUUAGUUAGUUGGUGAGGUAAUGGCUCACCAAGACCGCGAUCCGUAACUGGUCUGAGAGGAUGAUCAGUCACACUGGAACUGAGACACGGUCCAGACUCCUACGGGAGGCAGCAGUGGGGAAUAUUGGACAAUGGGGGGGAACCCUGAUCCAGCCAUGCCGCGUGUGUGAAGAAGGUCUUAGGAUUGUAAAGCACUUUAAGUUGGGAGGAAGAGCAGUUAACUAAUAUUUGCCUGUUUUGACGUUACCGACAGAAUAAGCACCGGCUAACUUCGUG
rnacentral:rRNA from 1 species